ACCAAUUAUGGGGAUAAAUGUUUCCUCUUGGUAUAAUGGCUCGGGCGCUAUAUUUAACGAUUGUGGCUAUCCUGAUCAAUGGUUGCUUUUAAUGUCAUUUGAUCCCGGAAACACCACAUACGUUA